AGAGUUUGAUCAUGGCUCAGGACGAACGCUGGCGGCGUGCCUAAUACAUGCAAGUCGAACGAAACUUUCUUACACCGAAUGCUUGCAUUCACCGUAAGAAGUUGAGUGGCGGACGGGUGAGUAACACGUGGGUAACCUGCCUAAAAGGAGGGGAUAACACUUGGAAACAGGUGCUAAUACCGUAUAUCUCUAAGGAUCGCAUGAUCCUUAGAUGAAAGAUGGUUCUGCUAUCGCUUUUAGAUGGACCCGCGGCGUAUUAACUAGUUGGUGGGGUAACGGCCUACCAAGGUGAUGAUACGUAGCCGAACUGAGAGGUUGAUCGGCCACAUUGGGACUGAGACACGGCCCAAACUCCUACGGGAGGCAGCAGUAGGGAAUCUUCCACAAUGGACGCAAGUCUGAUGGAGCAACGCCGCGUGAGUGAAGAAGGUCUUCGGAUCGUAAAACUCUGUUGUUAGAGAAGAACACGAGUGAGAGUAACUGUUCAUUCGAUGACGGUAUCUAACCAGCAAGUCACGGCUAACUACGUGCCAGCAGCCGCGGUAAUACGUAGGUGGCAAGCGUUGUCCGGAUUUAUUGGGCGUAAAGGGAACGCAGGCGGUCUUUUAAGUCUGAUGUGAAAGCCUUCGGCUUAACCGGAGUAGUGCAUUGGAAACUGGAAGACUUGAGUGCAGAAGAGGAGAGUGGAACUCCAUGUGUAGCGGUGAAAUGCGUAGAUAUAUGGAAGAACACCAGUGGCGAAAGCGGCUCUCUGGUCUGUAACUGACGCUGAGGUUCGAAAGCGUGGGUAGCAAACAGGAUUAGAUACCCUGGUAGUC
rnacentral:rRNA from 1 species